GGGCAUUGUUGACUUGGUUCAACAUUGGAGGGAAUGGCUUCAGAGUGGAGAGGGGUGAUUGCGAUCUGUCGGUUCUUUAACCUCACGUUGAGGGAGGGGUAUGGGAGCUGGAUACAGAGGUCAGAGGCCGUUCAGUAGGGGUCAGAAAAGCUCAGUACAAAAGGGUAGCUGUGAAAAGGCAGAUAAGCCUGCCCUAGUUCAGUGCCCGGCAAAGACCAGCACCUAAACAGUGUGAGUUAUCACUGAUUCUCCAGAUGGGUAAGGAAGAUGAGGAGGGAUUUACAGCACUGGGACAGUGCUCUUCGACUGGCAAAACGCUUGGCCCCAGAACAAAUACCGUUUAUAGCAAAAGAGUAUGCGAUUCAGCUUGAAUCCACGGGAGGUUAUGCAAAUGCUUUGGCCCAUUAUGAGAAAGGAAUAACAGGCGACAAGAAGGAACAGGACGAGCUGAGCCUGGCUGGAGUGGCCCGGAUGUCCAUCCGGAUGGGUGACAUCCGCAGAGGGCUGAACCAAGCCCUCAAGCAGCCCAGCAGGGUCCUGAAGCGAGACUGUGGAGCCGUACUGGAGAAUAUGAAGCAAUUUUCAGAAGCAGCCCAACUGUAUGAAAAAGGCCUCUACUGCAACAAAGCCGCGUCUGUGUACAUCCGCCGUGAGAACUGGGCAAAAGUUCGCGAGCUUCUGCCUCACAUCUCCUCUGCUAAGAUCCACUUGCAGUAUGCCAAAGCUAAGGACGCAGAUGGAAGAUACAAGGAAGCUGUGGUGGCUUACGAGAAUGCCAAGCAGUGGAACGGUGUGAUCCGCCCCUACCUAGACCACCUCAACAACCCAGAAAAGGCCACCAGCAUCGUCAGAGAGACCCAGUCUCUGGACAGGCCAAGGUUUUUCCUACAGCUCGGUGACUGUGGGUCUGCCAUCCAGUUUCUUGUCAUGUCCAAAUUUAACAGUGAAGCUUUCACCCUGGCUUAGCAACACAACAAAAUGGAAAUCUAUGCAGACAUCACUGGCACUGAAGCACUUCCUGAAAUGCCCAAGCUCAGAAGACAGUAUGGCAAUAGAAAUGGCAAUUGAAACUGAUUUUGUUGUAUCGUCUGGAUGCAAGUCUUUCCAUCAGAAACGUGUACUGUGAAAAUCUCCUAGGAUGUGGCUUGCCUUUUGUGUCCUAGUGGUAUCUUGAUGAACAUCAAUUCUAUGUCUUAAUAAAGUCUAGCUUAUGCA